GCUUUGUUUCCCAAACAUGUUUUACAAUCCAUCCCAGAAUUCUUGGUAUACAGGAAACGGCAAUGAAAAAUGCAUGUGCAUUAGGAUCCGCAGUUGUGACCACAUUUAUUAUAACCCAAAUAAUUCUAAAAUAGUAAUUGUCACGAUUUCAAAGUGGAUUUUAAAUUUUAGGCCAGAGUAGCCAAACAGAAUGCAUAGCUGAUGCAAAUAUUUUUUUCCAAUUCGGCUAUUUUGACCUUAAAUUUAAAAUUCACUUUGAAUUUCCUCUGUAGUGAAUAACCUGUUUAGUGUUAUAAUCAUAUUCCC